UGAAGACCAUGGAAACAUACACAGAGAUCCCAUGACUCAAUGACAGUGAAGAUGCAGGCACCUUUCAUCACGUGCUGUCAUUGUUAAACUGGCUGCAAGCGUGUCAUCAGCUUGCCCAAAGUGAUUUUUUACCUGCAAGGAUCUCAAGGGGACACGCAGGCAUCUGGAACUUCCUUGCUCACCCACCCACAGAUUAGCAAGUUGAUGAUGGAUGAAGUUAAUCAGUUCACAUUAGGAUCUAAUGACAACAAUUUGGUUCCAAAUCCCCGAG